UGGCCGCGGUAUUUUGACCGUGCAAAGGUAGCAUAAUAAUUAGGUUAUUAAUUGUGAUCUUGAAUGAAAGGUUGAACGUAAAAAUAACUGUCUCAUUUUAUUGAUUGAAUUUAAAUUAUAGGUAAGAAUGCCUAUUUUAUAAUUAAACGAGAAGACCCUAUUAAGCUUUAUAUGUAAUUUUUAUGGUUUUAGUAUUUUUAAGAUUAUUAUAUAUUUUACUGGGGCGGUGAUUAAUAGUUAGGCAUUAUAUUUUAUGUAUUCUUAUAAGAGUAAUUGAUCCAUAUUUAAUGAUUGUUAGAUUAAGUUACUAUAGGGAUAACAGCACAAUUUAAUCUGAGAGUUCUUAUUGAUGAUAAAGAUUGUGACCUCGAUGUUGAAUUAAAGUUUCUUUUUAAUGUAGGAGUUUUUUAAGAUAGUCUGUUCGACUAUUUAAUUUUUACG
rnacentral:rRNA from 1 species